CAUUGCAUGUAUUUGAGUAUACACAAAUGCAGUGAACAUCUCAACCGUAUCCAUCUAUUUUCAGCUGGAUCCAGAAGAGGGCGCUGUGACUCCACGGUUCACACAGCAACGAUCGGGACUAAAACUAUUGCCAUAUUAUUAUUGUUUUUUCCCCUAAGCAAACCUACACGUACACAUUUUCUUGAGGUUAUUAAUCUCCAGUAGCAGCAUUUAAGCUAUAUUUAAAAAUAGGGGGAAAAAGACACUUUUUACUGAGGGUAUAAAGUUGUAGUCGUCCUAAAGACAUGCUUGUUAGAUUAAAUGGUGAUUCUAAAUUGGCCGUAGCUGUGGGUGUGAGCAUGUGAUGUUAUCUGCCCUUCUGUGUCAGCCCUGGGAGCUACUGGUAACCUGUCCAGGGUGUACCCCAUCCUUCACACUGAAACAGUUGAGAUAACCUUCAGCCUCCCUGUGGCCCCAAGUUAGAAAAGCAGAUAAGAAAAUGGAUGAAUGGAUACUUUUCAUUUGACUUCGUGAAAGGUUGGGCUUGAAGGAACAAAGAACAAAGCAUGGACCUUGAAACAAAGCAAAGGAACCCAGGGGACCGCCGAAGACUCUCUCUUGCUGACUUCUAAAAGUCCUCCAGUGGCCUGAGACACGACGCUGUACCACAUCCUCAACUAACCAAACAGAUGUGAGGACAAAAACACAAAGAAGAAAUCAAGAGGAACAAAAAGAGGGCAGCUGGGAAGAAAAAAAAUGAAAUGUACCAGGAAGAAUUCAUUAGGGUUAGAUGUAGAAUACGAGUGAGACUCGGUGCAAGAGACGGAAAUAAAGACAAUUGACAACAGAGGUACAGGGGAUAAGAUAGAGGUACGAAGCUGAUAAAA